UGAUUUACUACAAGGAUUUUUUCCUUUUUAAAGGAAAACUUUGGGCAUUGUGAUCAUUUUUAUGAAUAGGGUUGAAAAUGUGAAUUCCAAUAAUUGCCCUUUAAAGAAAGUAUUAUGUUUCAGAGGCUGGGAAAGCUAAAUGUACUCUGGAAACAAUUUUAAAGCUUAAUAGGAGUUUUUAUCUAGAUCUUAAAGGGAAAUAUAUAUUAGUUUCUUUUUAGGAGAAGUCAUAUGAGUUUCUACACACUCAUUUUGAAAAUACACGCUUAUACUAACACUGUUUAGAUCUCCGGUUGGUAAAUUUAAAUAACUUACCCUGUAGUAAAAGAGACUACAACAAAGAUACUAGUCUCUAUUGCACUAUGUUUUCCAGUACCCACUUUUUAGUAUUUUGUUUUGUUUUAUUCUUCUCCAUGUGUUUUUUAACCCCUUGAUGUAGUAUUUCACGUUUUAUUUUAUUCUAGAAGAAUAAGUGAACUGAGAGAAGAACUGGCCACAUAAAAUCCUGAACAAGCAAUUUUAUUGAAGAAACUAGACAAGACAGGAACUACUUUCUUUUCCAAAGAAAUUACUGGCAAAACUCCCACUGGCUUCUGGGGUGAAAUCAUACUCAUCCUUUUUGUCCUUAUUCCAAUGAAUAUUCCUGAUGCAGAGAAUUAAUGUAAGUAUUUGCAAUUCUGCUUCUGGCUGGAGCUGAAAAGGUGAUGCUGCAGUUAGUCUGGAGAGUUGUCUCUUAAGAUUUGUUUUUACUUAGA
rnacentral:lncRNA from 1 species